rnacentral:rRNA from 1 species
GGGGCUCAACCCCCCGAAGCCCCCGGAACCUCCGCGGCUUGGGUCCGGUAGGGGAGGGUGGAACACCCGGUGUAGCGGUGGAAUGCGCAGAUAUCGGGUGGAACACCGGUGGCGAAGGCGGCCCUCUGGGCCGAGACCGACGCUGAGGCGCGAAAGCUGGGGGAGCGAACAGGAUUAGAUACCCUGGUAGUCCCAGCCGUAAACGAUAGACGGUAGGUGUGGGGGGACGAUCCCCCCGUGCCGCAG